rnacentral:rRNA from 1 species
ACGGAGGGUGCAAGCGUUAAUCGGAAUUACUGGGCGUAAAGCGCACGCAGGCGGUUUGUUAAGUCAGAUGUGAAAUCCCCGGGCUCAACCUGGGAAUUGCAUUUGAAACUGGCAGGCUAGAGUCUCGUAGAGGGGGGCAGAAUUCCAGGUGUAGCGGUGAAAUGCGUAGAGAUCUGGAGGAAUACCGGUGGCGAAGGCGGCCACCUGGACGAAGACUGACGCUCAGGUGCGAAAGCGUGGGGAGCAAACAG